GCUCCCGUAGUAUAGCCCGGUUAAGUAUGCCGGGUUUUCGACCCGGAGACCCGAGUUCGAAUCUCGGCGGGAGCG
rnacentral:tRNA from 1 species